ensembl:lncRNA
GGAUUUUCCAGCCUCAGUCAUUUUGGAAUUCUAUGAACCAGCAAGAACAAUUAAUUAAUUAAUUAAUUAAUCCAGUUCUUUUUAGUAUGCUUCUGUCAGACAGGGUUUGAGCUUGGAUGGCCCAAAGAAGACCAUGGUGAGGAAGUUUGCUGACAGCACAAAGCUUGACAGUGCCCCAGUACAGAGAACACGUCACAAAUAGGAUGGAGUUUAACAGAGAGAAAUUCUUGCAGCAAGCAGGAUUUCUGCUGCAAACUCCAAACUCAGAAGGACAAAGGAAGAGAAAGGUUUGAGCAGACCAGCAGAUCUCCAGGCAGCUGGGAGCCCUGGGUGUGGCACGGCCACCUAACGGCAAACAGGAUUUUGGGCAGGAUGUAACAACUCACUGCUGCUCACUUUGCUUCUCUGCCUGCUCUUCACU